GCUGAAACUCGAAGCUAAACAUGUGAGAUUACAAAGCAGUCCGUCCGCUUAUUCAAGAGACCUGCAGCUUUUACUGUGUGUACUACCAAGCAAUGAAAAUGAUUAGUAGAUGGUAAUUUGGGCUAAGAGAUUUACCAUCUCAUCAGGCAGAGCUGACUUGAUUUCCAGACAUGUUAUCAUCUCUUUUGGGAACUAGGUUAAUAUAUGUGACACACAAGGACCCAGACCUAGAAACAGACACUUGGUAUACAACUCAUGUAAAACAGCUAUGAAUAUUUUUUGGUGGCUACAUUGAGAUGUGCUCAAGAAUAUACAUAUUGGACUGCAUAUCACGCAAUUUAUUCUGCUCUUACUGACAGUUUGCAAACAAAAACUCAAAACAAGAUGCAACCGUGUGCAGCUCCCGAACUGUAGGUUCUGAUUUUGGCAUCCGUGAGUGCUGGAGGAAGGGGACCACAGCUGAAGAGAUGUGCUUUUGCUCGUCUUACUGUGAAAUAUAAUCUGGGCAUUUGUUUGAUGGAUUUCAUGAAAUAUGGAAGAAAUCCACACUAAGGGUUUUUCACCUGAUUGCCUUUAUUUUUGCCCCACCUUGGUAAUGAUAAAGAGAAGUGAAAAUAACCUGGAGUUGGUGAUCGUAGUGAUGGAAGUUCACCAUAUUCAGGGAGAGUCGUUAAGAAUGAAGUGCGGAAGUGAGCAAUGGUGGCGAACUUCAUAUUUUGGGUGGGAGAACCCUCUCUGUGGCUGCAUCUUCAAAGAAAAACGAGUAUCACGGGCCAAAAGAAAAGGAAGAAGGCCAUGGAUUACAUGGAAAUCAGUGUUAUUUGAUAGGAUUUUUAAAACAGGAGACUGAUGUAGAAAUAUGCUAUUUUUCAUGCUGUCACUCUGGGGUAGAGUUGAGAGUAAAUAUCAUGAGAUUAAAAAAAGAAAGAAAAUCAUUGAAAAUUUAUCUAUGUUAUGGAGUAAGCUAUUCACCUAAAGCUCAUUUUAAUUCCAGCAAAUGUGAUAAGUUGCUACUUAAAGUAGCAUAUUGUGUACAGAUCUUUUACUUAAUGCUUGGCCCUAUCUAGAAAAAGAUCGUGAAUCAUCUUGGUAAGUUCUGUAUUCUACAAUGAGUCUAUUUUGAUAAAAUUCUAUAUUUUACAUGAAAACACAUUUCUAAUAAAAAUUCUC